UACGAAGGGGGCUAGCGUUGUUCGGAAUCACUGGGCGUAAAGGGCGCGUAGGCGGCCUGAUAAGUCGGGGGUGAAAGCCUGUGGCUCAACCACAGAAUUGCCUUCGAUACUGUUAGGCUUGAGACCGGAAGAGGUAAGUGGAACUGCGAGUGUAGAGGUGAAAUUCGUAGAUAUUCGCAAGAACACCAGUGGCGAAGGCGGCUUACUGGUCCGGUUCGUGACGCUGAGGCGCGAAAGCGUGGGGAGCAAACAGG
rnacentral:rRNA from 1 species